rnacentral:piRNA from 1 species
UACCCAUCUGCCUCCUUGCCAUUACAUGU